UACGUAGGGGGCAAGCGUUGGUCCGGAAUUAUUGGGCGUAAAGAGCGUGUAGGCGGUUUGGUAGGUCCGCUGUGAAAACUCGAGGCUCAACCUCGAGACGCCGGUGGAAACCAUCAGGCUAGAGUCCGGAAGAGGAGAGUGGAAUUCCUGGUGUAGCGGUGAAAUGCGCAGAUAUCAGGAAGAACACCCGUGGCUAAGGCGGCUCUCUAGUACGGUACUGACGCUGAGACGCGAAAGCGUGGGGAGCGAACAGG
rnacentral:rRNA from 1 species